rnacentral:tRNA from 1 species
CGCGGGGUGGAGCAGUGGUAGCUCGCUGGGCUCAUAACCCAGAGGUCGGGGGUUCAAAUCCCUCCCCCGCAA